UACGGAGGGUGCGAGCGUUGUCCGGAAUCAUUGGGCGUAAAGGGCGCGUAGGUGGCUUCUCAAGCGUGCGGUGAAAGCCUGGGGCUCAACCCCGGGUCGGCCGUGCGAACUGGGGGGCUUGAGCACUGUAGAGGCAGGCGGAAUUCCGGGUGUAGCGGUGGAAUGCGUAGAGAUCCGGAAGAACACCGGUGGCGAAGGCGGUCUGCUGGGCAGUUGCUGACACUGAUGCGCGACAGCGUGGGGAGCAAACAGG
rnacentral:rRNA from 1 species